GAUGAACGCUGGCGGCGUGCCUAAUACAUGCAAGUCGAGCGAACGGACGCGAAGCUUGUUUCUCUGAUGUUAGCGGCGGACGGGUGAGUAACACGUGGAUGCCCUACCUAUAAGACUGGGAUAACUUCGGGAAACCGGCGCUAAUACCGGAUAAUAUUUUGACCCGCAUGGUUCAAAAGUGAAAGACGGUCUUGCUGUCACUUAUAGCUGGAUCCGCGCUGCAUUAGCUAGUUGGUAAGGUAACGGGUUACCAAGGCAACGAUGCAUAGCCGACCUGAGAGGGUGAUCGGCCACCCUAGAGCGGAGCCGCGGUCCAGAGGCCUACGGGAGGCACCAGUAGGGAAUCUGCCGCAAUGGGCGGAAGCCUUACGGAACGACGCAGCGUGAGAUGUGAAGAUCUUCGGAGCGGAAAACUGGGUUAUUGGGUAAGAACAUAUUUGUAAGGAACUGUGCACAUCUUGACGGUACCUAAACAGAAAGCCACGGCUAACUACGUG
rnacentral:rRNA from 1 species